rnacentral:rRNA from 1 species
UUAAGUUAUUAAGGGCGCACGGUGGAUGCCUUGGCACUAGAAGCCGAUGAAGGACGUUACUAACGACGAUAUGCUUUGGGGAGCUGUAAGUAAGCUUUGAUCCAGAGAUUUCCGAAUGGGGAAACCCAGCAUGAGUUAUGUCAUGUUAUCGAUAUGUGAAUACAUAGCAUAUCAGAAGGCACACCCGGAGAACUGAAACAUCUUAGUACCCGGAGGAAGAGAAAGAAAAUUCGAUUCCCUUAGUAGCGGCGAGCGAAACGGGAAGAGCCCAAACCAACAAGCUUGCUUGUUGGGGUUGUAGGACACUCUAUACGGAGUUACAAAGGACGACAUUAGACGAAUCAUCUGGAAAGAUGAAUCAAAGAAGGUAAUAAUCCUGUAGUCGAAAAUGUUGUCUCUCUUGAGUGGAUCCUGAGUACGACGGAGCACGUGAAAUUCCGUCGGAAUCUGGGAGGACCAUCUCCUAAGGCUAAAUACUCUCUAGUGACCGAUAGUGAACCAGUACCGUGAGGGAAAGGUGAAAAGCACCCCGGAAGGGGAGUGAAAUAGAACCUGAAACCGUGUGCUUACAAGUAGUCAGAGCCCGUUAAUGGGUGAUGGCGUGCCUUUUGUAGAAUGAACCGGCGAGUUACGAUUUGAUGCAAGGUUAAGCAGUAAAUGUGGAGCCGUAGCGAAAGCGAGUCUGAAUAGGGCGUUUAGUAUUUGGUCGUAGACCCGAAACCAGGUGAUCUACCCUUGGUCAGGUUGAAGUUCAGGUAACACUGAAUGGAGGACCGAACCGACUUACGUUGAAAAGUGAGCGGAUGAACUGAGGGUAGCGGAGAAAUUUCAAUCGAACCUGGAGAUAGCUGGUUCUCUCCGAAAUAGCUUUAGGGCUAGCCUCAAGUGAUGAUUAUUGGAGGUAGAGCACUGUUUGGACGAGGGGCCCCUCUCGGGUUACCGAAUUCAGACAAACUCCGAAUGCCAAUUAAUUUAACUUGGGAGUCAGAACAUGGGUGAUAAGGUCCGUGUUCGAAAGGGAAACAGCCCAGACCACCAGCUAAGGUCCCAAAAUAUAUGUUAAGUGGAAAAGGAUGUGGCGUUGCCCAGACAACUAGGAUGUUGGCUUAGAAGCAGCCAUCAUUUAAAGAGUGCGUAAUAGCUCACUAGUCGAGUGACACUGCGCCGAAAAUGUACCGGGGCUAAACAUAUUACCGAAGCUGUGGAUUGUCCUUUGGACAAUGGUAGGAGAGCGUUCUAAGGGCGUUGAAGCAUGAUCGUAAGGACAUGUGGAGCGCUUAGAAGUGAGAAUGCCGGUGUGAGUAGCGAAAGACGGGUGAGAAUCCCGUCCACCGAUUGACUAAGGUUUCCAGAGGAAGGCUCGUCCGCUCUGGGUUAGUCGGGUCCUAAGCUGAGGCCGACAGGCGUAGGCGAUGGAUAACAGGUUGAUAUUCCUGUACCACCUAUAAUCGUUUUAAUCGAUGGGGGGACGCAGUAGGAUAGGCGAAGCGUGCGAUUGGAUUGCACGUCUAAGCAGUAAGGCUGAGUAUUAGGCAAAUCCGGUACUCGUUAAGGCUGAGCUGUGAUGGGGAGAAGACAUUGUGUCUUCGAGUCGUUGAUUUCACACUGCCGAGAAAAGCCUCUAGAUAGAAAAUAGGUGCCCGUACCGCAAACCGACACAGGUAGUCAAGAUGAGAAUUCUAAGGUGAGCGAGCGAACUCUCGUUAAGGAACUCGGCAAAAUGACCCCGUAACUUCGGGAGAAGGGGUGCUCUUUAGGGUUAACGCCCAGAAGAGCCGCAGUGAAUAGGCCCAAGCGACUGUUUAUCAAAAACACAGGUCUCUGCUAAACCGUAAGGUGAUGUAUAGGGGCUGACGCCUGCCCGGUGCUGGAAGGUUAAGAGGAGUGGUUAGCUUCUGCGAAGCUACGAAUCGAAGCCCCAGUAAACGGCGGCCGGAACUAUAAAGGUCCUAAGGUAGCGAAAUUCCUUGUCGGGGAAGUUCCGACCCGCACGAAAGGCGUAACGAUUUGGGCACUGUCUCAACGAGAGACUCGGUGAAAUCAUAGUACCUGUGAAGAUGCAGGUUACCCGCGACAGGACGGAAAGACCCCGUGGAGCUUUACUGUAGCCUGAUAUUGAAAUUCGGCACAGCUUGUACAGGAUAGGUAGGAGCCUUUGAAACGUGAGCGCUAGCUUACGUGGAGGCGCUGGUGGGAUACUACCCUAGCUGUGUUGGCUUUCUAACCCGCACCACUUAUCGUGGUGGGAGACAGUGUCAGGCGGGCAGUUUGACUGGGGCGGUCGCCUCCUAAAAGGUAACGGAGGCGCUCAAAGGUUCCCUCAGAAUGGUUGGAAAUCAUUCAUAGAGUGUAAAGGCAUAAGGGAGCUUGACUGCGAGACCUACAAGUCGAGCAGGGUCGAAAGACGGACUUAGUGAUCCGGUGGUUCCGCAUGGAAGGGCCAUCGCUCAACGGAUAAAAGCUACCCCGGGGAUAACAGGCUUAUCUCCCCCAAGAGUUCACAUCGACGGGGAGGUUUGGCACCUCGAUGUCGGCUCAUCGCAUCCUGGGGCUGUAGUCGGUCCCAAGGGUUGGGCUGUUCGCCCAUUAAAGCGGUACGCGAGCUGGGUUCAGAACGUCGUGAGACAGUUCGGUCCCUAUCCGUCGUGGGCGUAGGAAAUUUGAGAGGAGCUGUCCUUAGUACGAGAGGACCGGGAUGGACAUACCUCUGGUGUACCAGUUGUCGUGCCAACGGCAUAGCUGGGUAGCUAUGUGUGGACGGGAUAAGUGCUGAAAGCAUCUAAGCAUGAAGCCCCCCUCAAGAUGAGAUUUCCCAACUUCGGUUAUAAGAUCCCUCAAAGAUGAUGAGGUUAAUAGGUUCGAGGUGGAAGCAUGGUGACAUGUGGAGCUGACGAAUACUAAUCGAUCGAAGACUUAAUCAA